AUGUCGGAAGAAAUUUUGUUCAUCCGCAAGUGGAAAUACUAAUAAACUCACUUGCAAAGUGCUUCAGGGCGAAAGAGUAAUUUAAUAGUUAUGCUGGAUGAUGGUGACGUGUUUGAAUUUGUUUCAAAACGUAGUGUCU
ensembl:ncRNA F01E11.14 ncRNA